rnacentral:rRNA from 1 species
CACGUAGGGAGCAAGCGUUGUCCGGAUUUAUUGGGCGUAAAGAGCUCGUAGGCGGUUCAGUAAGUCAGGUGUGAAACCUCCAGGCUCAACCUGGAGACGCCACCUGAUACUGCUGUGACUUGAGUCCGGUAGGGGAGCGUGGAAUUCCUGGUGUAGCGGUGGAAUGCGCAGAUAUCAGGAGGAACACCGGUGGCGAAGGCGGGUCUCUGGGCAGUGAACUGACGCUGAGGAGCGAAAGCGUGGGGAGCGAACAGG